rnacentral:rRNA from 1 species
UACCGUGAAAAAAUUAGAGUGUUCAAAGCAGGCAGAUCCAAUUUUCUGCCACCGAAUACAUUAGCAUGGGAUAAUGGAAUAGGACCCCUGUCCUCCUAUUUUCAGUUGGUUUUGGCAGCGCGAGGACUAGGGUAAUGAUUAAUAGGGAUAGUUGGGGGCAUUAAUAUUUAAUUGUCAGAGGUGAAAUUCUUGGAUUUAUGAAAGAUUAACUUCUGCGAAAGCAUCUGCCAAGGAUGUUUUCAUUAAUCAAGAACGAAAGUUAGGGGAUCGAAGACGAUCAGAUACCGUCGUAGUCUUAACCAUAAACGAUGCCGACCAGCGAUUAGGAGACGUUGAAUACAAAACACCACCAUCGGCGCAGGUCGUCCUUGGCGUUGUCGCUUCACGGCUGGCAGCGCGAGGCGUUAGCCCKGACCCCC